CUACUGUAAAUAAUUAUAUCGAUUUGAAUAACAUCUGGAAAAAUCUUGAAGCCCUUUACUUGAAAUGAUUUUAUGAACAGGCACUACAUUCACUCAACCACUUUAGUAGUGUCACUAGUGUGAUGAAAUGUGGCUGUGAAAGACCUGAGAACAUAAUCAUUUGGAUAGCCAGACAGCCAAGAAUGGCAGCAAUUGGAUAUGUGAUCUUGGACCUGAGUAUGAAGCCAAUAUCGGUGAUAGAGGUAACAAACACACGGAAUUGUGAGUCUCAAGAAAGGUCAGAAAUGAGAGGAUCAGCAUGAGGAACAAGGACAAACCAUCCAAAUCAAGGGAAGAAAGCCCAGGUAUCUAUUAGGCAGUAUAGCCACUGGCUAUGACAGAAAAUGUCACCAACCAGAAGCUGACAAUCAAGAGAGCCCUUUCUCAGGGCUAAGAAGAAGGAGUGAAAAAUAAAUCUAGAGGGGCCAAUGAAAGAUAUCUGACACACAUAAAAUCAGUCACACAUGGGUGAACUGUAAGAGACUGAAAGUAAAUAAAUGAAUGAAGUUACCCUUGUCA
rnacentral:lncRNA from 1 species